UGGCCCGAGUUGUAAUUUGCAGAGGAUGCUUUUGGUGAGGUGCCUUCCGAGUUCCCUGGAACGGGACGCCAUAGAGGGUGAGAGCCCCGUCUGGUUGGACACCGAGCCUCUGUAAAGCUCCUUCGACGAGUCGAGUAGUUUGGGAAUGCUGCUCUAAAUGGGAGGUAUAUGUCUUCUAAAGCUAAAUACCGGCCAGAGACCGAUAGCGCACAAGUAGAGUGAUCGAAAGAUGAAAAGCACUUUGAAAAGAGGGUUAAACAGUACGUGAAAUUGUUGAAAGGGAAGCGCUUGUGACCAGACUUGGGCUUGGUUAAUCAUCCAGCGUUCUUCGCUGGUGCACUUGGCCGGCCCAGGCCAGCAUCAGUUCGGCGCGGGGGACAAAGGCUUCGGGAAUGUGGCUCCCCCGGGAGUGUUAUAGCCCGCUGCGUAAUACCCUGCGCUGGACUGAGGACCGCGCAUCUGCAAGGAUGCUGGCGUAAUGGUCAUCAGCGACCCGUCUUGAAACACGGACCAAGGAGUCGUCUUCGUAUGCGAGUGUUCGGGUGUCAAACCCCUACGCGGAAUGAAAGUGAACGCAGGUGAGAGCUUCGGCGCAUCAUCGACCGAUCCUGAUGUUCUCGGAUGGAUUUGAGUAAGAGCAUACGGGGCCGGACCCGAAAGAAGGUGAACUAUGCCUGUAUAGGGUGAAGCCAGAGGAAACUCUGGUGGAGG
rnacentral:rRNA from 1 species